UGGCUGAGUGCUGCAGGCGG
rnacentral:misc_RNA from 1 species